GUGCCAUGAGGAAGAAGAAAUUGCUCCAGAAACAAGAUUUGAUCUUGCUUGUGAUGGUAGCAUCCUCUAAGAAGUUCUGAGCAC